rnacentral:tRNA from 1 species
GCGCCCGUAGCUCAGGUGGAUAGAGCAGCAGCCUUCUAAGCUGUUGGUCGGAGGUUCGAAU